UAUGGCUAUAUCAUGUUGAAACACCAGUUCCCAUACGAUCACCAAAGUUAAGCAACAUCAAGUGUGGUUAGUAUCUAGAUGGAUGACCAUUUGGGAAUACCAGGUGCUGUA
rnacentral:rRNA from 1 species